rnacentral:rRNA from 1 species
ACGCUCGACACCUACGGGAUGCAGCAGUGGGGAAUAUUGGGCAAUGGGCGAAAGCCUGACCCAGCAACGCCGCGUGAGGGAAGAAGGUUUUCGGAUUGUAAACCUCUGUCCUCAGGGACGAAGGACGUGACGGUACCUGAGGAGGAAGCCCCGGCUAACUACGUGCCAGCAGCCGUGGUAAUCUGAGCGGGCUGGCAAGGC